CCUACGGGAGGCUGCAGUGGGGGAUAUUGCACAAUGGGGGAAACCCUGAUGCAGCGACGCCGCGUGUGGGAAGACGGUCCUCUGGAUUGUAAACCACUGUCCCCAGGGACGAAGAUGACGGUACCUGGGGAGGAAGCUCCGGCUAACUACGUGCCAGCAGCCGCGGUAAUACGUAGGGAGCGAGCGUUGUCCGGAAUUACUGGGUGUAAAGGGAGCGUAGGCGGGACUGCAAGUUGGGUGUCAAAUCUACCGGCUCAACCGGUAGCCGCACUCAAAACUGCAGUUCUUGAGUGAAGGAGAGGCGGGCGGAAUUCCUAGUGUAGCGGUGAAAGGCGUAGAUAUUAGGAGGAACACCAGUGGCGAAGGCGGCUUGCUGGGCUUUAACUGACGUUGAGGCUCGAAAGUGUGGGGAGCAAACAGGAUUAGAUACCCGGGUAGUC
rnacentral:rRNA from 1 species